AGUGAUGAAGUUAUCUAAACCCAAACCAUAUUUAAAACCAAGUGAACCACAAUCAGGUAUGAUUGUAAUCUUAAAACCAGAAACAGAUCUGAAACCUUUAACGUAGGAGGUUCGGCGAUUUUAAAAGGUUUUUUUUUAAUUUUAUGGAGUAGACUGAUCAACUCCAAAAGCGGUGACAGCAGGGCCGUAGCGACGGGGGGUGUGUGGGGGGGCAACAAUCCCCCCCCCCAUAACAUUGCCCAUGAGCAAUUUCAGAUAGAGCAGUAGAUUUUCAGGCCGGUUGCCAUUGCAGUCGCUUUGCCCGCGCGGACGGAGCGGGCUUUGAAAAUCUGCUCACGCGGGCGUGACGGGCGUCAAAAAAGAUGAACGGGGACAUGCCAAAUACCCUUUCUGACGAUCUGGAGACUACAAAUUUCAAACAUUUUCUCAAUUUUUCUAGUCACAUUAAACUGUAAGUAGCAAUACAUAACAAUAUUAAGAUAUUGAAAUAUUGGGUAGGAAGGACUCUAAAAAUGAUAUUUCCGACGGUCUAGAGACUUCAAAUUUUCAAAAAAAAUUUCUCGGCGCCAACCAUGGUUAAAAACGUUGAGUUGGAAAAUUCAGGUAAAUCUAACCUCCACCCCGCCCCCCCUCCCCCCAAAGGCGAAGUCUUGACAACGGCCCUGGGUGACAGAAUAUCUCUUUUGGAGUUGAUUAAGCUCCUUGAAAUGUACAGUGUUGCCAAUGGAUGAUUCCAACUGUAGAGGAAUUUUUUUAUCAAGGCAAGAAGCACGAAAUCCAUUACCACAGCUGGAAAGAGCAUGUUAAAAAGAGUAAAAUUGCAAAGUUUGGUUGCGAAUUGUUGUAAAAUGAGGAAAAUAUAGCCCUGUGAAGUUCGCAAAUAUUGUAUAUAUUUGCAUUACGCUGAAAGUGGUUAUUUUUACCGCGCGUAAUACAAAUAUAUCCAAAAUUUGCGAACUUCACAGGGCUAUAUUUUCUUCAUUUUACAACAUUUCGCAACCAAUCUUUGCAGUUUUACUCAUUCUAAGAUGCUCUUUCUAGCUGUGGUGUUGGAUUUCAUUCUUCUUGCCUUGAUCAAAAUUUAAUCAAAAGCUGGAAUCACCCAUUAAUUGUUAACCGUGUUUAAUAUUCUUCAACCAGAUCCAGGAUCUGACCACGUAUCUCGGCAUGUCGCUGAAAAGCCACCGCUUCCCACUGAUGCGAUUUUGAGUGGAAACAGCAAUACGAAGUACUUGACAGGUAAUCUCAAACGGUCGAUCCAUAGGAGUACGAGACAGGGGGCAAGGGGG